UUGGAGGGCAAGUCUGGUGCCAGCAGCCGCGGUAAUUCCAGCUCCAAUAGCGUAUAUUAAAGUUGUUGCAGUUAAAAAGCUCGUAGUUGGAUUUCGGGAUCAAUACGUCGGUCGUGCUUCGGUACGUACUGGUGUCAUUGAUUUCUCCCUUCUGACGAACCAUGAUGUCAUUAACUUGGUGUCAUGGGAAAUCAGGACUGUUACUUUGAAAAAAUUAGAGUGUUUAAAGCAGGCUCACGCUUGAAUACAUUAGCAUGGAAUAAUGAAAUAGGACGUUCGAUCCUAUUUUGUUGGUUUCUAGGAUCAACGUAAUGAUUAAUAGGGAUAGUUGGGGGCAUUAGUAUUCAAUUGUCAGAGGUGAAAUUCUUGGAUUUAUUGAAGACUAACUACUGCGAAAGCAUUUGCCAAGGAUGUUUUCAUUAAUCAAGAACGAAAGUUAGGGGAUCGAAGACGAUCAGAUACCGUCGUAGUCUUAACCAUAAACUAUGCCGACUAGGGAUCGGAUGAUGUUAAUUAUUUAAUGACUCAUUCGGCGCCUUACGGGAAAC
rnacentral:rRNA from 1 species